ensembl:lncRNA
UGCAUACCACACUAUGUGACACAAUCAUAGUUACAGAUCUAUGGACUGCACAGCACAACUGACACGAAAGCUUUAUGAGCCGAAGUUUACAUGUGCUAGGACAAAAUGUGACGCCAUAGUGAACACAGGAAACACAGGACCUACACCAGGUUGAAUUUGUGUCCCUGUCCAUUGACGCAUCCAAUCAUGGACAUGUAAAGCUGCUGCCAAUAGUAGUCAGAUAUAAAUGAUAGCAGCACAUCUGUGGAAACAAAACUGCCUGAUUUUGUUGAAUUGAAUGGAGAAACAGCAGAUGAAAUUGCAGCUGAGGUCCUGGUGGUCAUCCAAAAAUAUAACCUGGAUAACAUUCUCUGCCGACAACAUUCUCUCCCAACUUUUGAGGACUGAAUAGGCUGGGGAGGUCUUAGGUUUUCCUGCCCACAUCAUUCAUAACAUGGCCAGAACAGCUUUGGAUAUGAUGUUGAGUAUCUGCUCACAAAGAUAUUUGAAUAUGUUCUUAUUUUCACUGUCAGAGUAGAAAGACUGAAGGGCUUUUGUGAGUUUGUUGGCCAGGAGUACCAUAAUAUUUUAGGACACAGCAAUGUUCGCUGGAUGUCCAUGCUCCCUGCUCUAGAAAGAGUGCUGAAAAUGUGCCAUUGAAAUCCUUUUUUAUUUCUGAAGACAAAUGCCCUGUUGUCCUGCAAACAAUGUUUGAAGAUCCACUGACUGAACUUUGGCUGGCAUUUGACCAUGGAAACGCGACUGUAUUCAGUGACACGAUCAAGAUGCUUGAAGGCCAGGACCACUGUGCUGUGGACUACGCUGCAAUUCUGAGAAACGUUGAGGCAAAAUUGACUGCAAGACGUGAUGACAACUUCAUCCCAGUGGUCAGAGGACUUCUGAGAGAGCUGGAGGAAAAUGGAGCAAUGUCUAAAGAGAGCUUUCUCAAAAUAUCCCAAUCAUUCUUCACUAUGGCUGUGAACUACUUGCAAGCAUGGGGAAAGCACACAGAUAAUCUAAAAGAUUUACAUGGUCUCCUUUUAAAAAGGCAACCUCUGCGUGAAGAGAUCCAGAAGGCAGCAGGCACACUGCAGGAAAAAUGCCCCAAUGUGACCAUCAAUGAGGAUGCAUUGUGUGACGAGGUUACUGGCCUGCAAGAGUUCCUAAAGGGGGGAUCGCUUGAAGAAUGGAAAACAUCUGCGACACCGCUUAGUCAGAGAAGGAGCACGGUGGUUAACCACUUCAAAGAGAACGACAUCCCACACACUAACCUGGCUAGAUUAGCGUCUGUUGUGUGCUUACCUAGAAGUAAUGCACCGGUCGAGAGAGUGUUCUCCCAAAUGAAUGAUAUAUGGACAGCAGCAAGAAAUAGGUUCACUGUUCCUAUCAUCAAGGCCAUGCUUAUUGUGAAGACAAACUUUAACCUCCCCUGCCAGGAGUUCACAGAGAAGCUGUCCAAAGACCUGAAGAAAAUACAUUCUUCUGAGAAAUAUACAGAUUAGCAGGACCACUGAAUGGCUGUUCAGAUCAGUUCUGUCUUGUCUGUAGUGUUUCUGUAGUAUAGUUGUUUUCUCUAUCACAGUGUGCCUGUUAGACUAAAUACAUGAAACUGGAAUUGUCCCCCUUUUUUAUUUCAUAGAUAAUAACAUUGGAUAUUUUAAUGAUAUAAUGACCACCAAACUGGAAAUGUCCCCGGUUGUCAUUUCAGAAAUCUUAGUAUAGAGGUGCCUGCCAACCUAAAGUGCUGGUCAGCUGUAGCCUAACACAGUGUCGGCGGUGGAAACUAGUAACGCGGUGAUUUUUCCCCUCCUUGGAUUAUACAGUAUUUCAAGUCAUUUUGGUAGCCAUCUAGAUGUCACCGAUUCUACUCAAUUGGGAGAGCAUAAAUGGCAAAAACACUGGGUGUCACAACCUUUAGCUGUCACAACCCUGUGUGAUUCGGUUCACUUGACUCAUCUGCGCGACAUAAAUCAUAUUUUUGUGGGGCAGGAUUGUCAAUAUUGCCUCUCCGACUAACCAUUUGGUGGCACAGCUAGAAAGGAAAAUGUUAUGAGUCUGGUAAAAUAAUCUGUGAUAUUGUGUAGGCUAUAGCAAUGUUGUAUUAGUUUGCUCGGGUUUGAAGUAGGUGUAUCUAGCUGUCUUAUUUGUAUUUGUUCAAUGCCUCAAUUGAUUUCAUAAACUAUAUUGGAUACUGUGGUGUAAAGCACUUA